AUGCAUGUUUAUUGUAUAUAGUUAGCCCCUAUGAUUAUAUGAUAGUCUAUGACGCUAAACUUCGAUAUUAUUACAUCAUCAUCGAUCAGACUCCUUUCCCUAAACACUCAAAAUUGAAAAAACGACCCAUUAACCAGAAGAACUUAACAGGCUAAAAGCUUUUCAUCUUACAACGGUACAGACGGUGUAACCGCACGCACAUAAAUAUGUAACAUUACAUACCUAAAUAAUUGCGUAAAUAAUCCAGAUAGGCCAGACACCUGAAUCCCGCGAUUUUGCCUGAUUAUAGGCGAAGUACAGAAUGAAAUUAAUAUCAACUUUGAACAAAUCUGGGCACACUGCACGCGCUCAGAUGUUACGACACGGAUAAAAUAGAUGCUGUCGUUGGUGGUAGUUUUUUGUCGUUUUUCAUUACCUCUUCGGAUGUGUUAGGUCAGCCAUCCACUCCACUUAUCACAUCGCGUCGUUGCUGCUUAGCUGAUGGCUUGCUUUGUUCGCCGAUUAGCGGGAAGUUCAUAGCCUGACGCUAAGUAGGACCGUACAUUAGCUCGUCGGUAUUGCGGUACUAUUGCGAUCGGCGUGUUCACGGGCACGGCUUGCGAUGCAGUCUCACUCACCAUCAAGGUAGUCCGACUCUCGCACCUGCGCUACACAGUGGACUUUUCCUGUUAGAUUGCGUGGAGCACGCACGACCGCUUCCAAAUGGAGUACAUUAACGUUAAACUAGUCGAGCCCAUUAGGCUGAUUUAUCCGUUGAGGUCCUAUUACGACCAGUUAGCUGGCAGGCGGGCGGGCGAACUGGCUGGAUGGUCGGUGGUCUGCGUUGAUGUUGAUUUUGUAGCAGUAACAGAAGCAGGCAGCACGCCACUGCGGCGACUAGUGCGAAGUCGCUGCUGGAGUUGUUGACUGUUCAGAGACCACACGUAAUUUCUCUACCGAGUUCCUGCGUUUUUGGAUCAAUUACAGCAUUGAGGCGCGCUUUCACACAUGAAGGUGCAUGUAGACAGUGGUAAUGCGGGAUGCAUGGCUGCAGAUCAGCCCGACUUAUACAGAUACCGUGCAUUUUGCUUUGAAGUCUCUUUACACAAAGCUCUUGUCCUGAUACUAAUAAUAACAGGACGACAACGAUCCCAAAUCGUUGUUACAGGUCCCAGUAGUUGCGGGACCACAAAGGUGCCAAUAAUCGGCGGCUGUUAUUCGUCAGAAUUUGGAAGGAACACUCUCAGGUUGGAAUCGAGCCCGAGACUUCACAAUGGUAAAAUCCGACGUCCUGUCCGCACCAACCACCGCGGUAGCCAAUUAAUUGACGACUUUAUAGAGCCACAUAUUUGUCGGAAUAUAUUCCGGGUUUAAAAAAUAGGAAGCGAGUUCUUCUGACCAGUAAAAAUAUCUUUGAACACGCCUUUACAUCUAGCAAACUCGGGAUGGGUCUCCGGCGGCUACAGGCAAGGUGCCUAUAGAGCCUUAGCAAGACUAAGAGAUGGCAAAGGG